GAACUAGCUUGAGCGUCAGAGGGUCUUACCGGAGCAACCCCACCUCCGGUUUAGACUUCUUUUGUAGGUCCCAGCGGCGACCGCAACUCCAGCUUCUCCGACGUAAGCGGAUUUUUGCACCAACAAGAUUUUUCAAAAAGAUCAGAGUAGCGCAGACGGGAAGGUGGAGAUCUAUAAAGCCCGUUUCGCUAUUAUCAUAG
rnacentral:lncRNA from 1 species